ensembl:lncRNA
AGAGGCUGAUUGAAGCUGAGCUCAAUUAGAAGGAAAUGAGAGCAAAGAAGGAGAGGAGGAGGAAGGUUUGGAUGCAGAAAUUAGUCUCCAGAUCAGAGAAGUUUGCUGCAGAGAAUCAGUAAGAUGUGGUUCAGUGAAGUCCUGGCUGAUGUUUGCCUGCAGCUCAGGACUCAGCGGUGAUUUCUAGUGAAUCCUGGGAGGAAGAGGAGCAGCGAAGAUCAUAGCUGGGAAGGAAACUCUACAACUUUCAUUGUGGCGGUAAAACCCUGAGGUAGGAAGCAGGAACUGAAAUUGAAAAGUAAAUGAGAGAUAAAGUCAAUAUGCUACUUUGGUGUUCAUGAAAUUAGAAACAGGUGCACUAGAGGGGUGCUCAGAGGGGCUCAGUGAUGCUCUGGUCCAGAUCUGGAAGGAGAUACCUCAGGACACCAUCCAUCGUCUCAUUAAGAGCCCCGACAUCAUCAGGCUGCAUACAAGCACGUGGAGACCAUACAAACUACUGAGUACCAUUUUGAGUUGCUGCCCAGGAAUUUCAGAAAGAUGGACCAGCCUGCCACGUCAUUUUUUCACUUUCAGUUUUGGGGUGUCUUGAAUUCAGCCCUCUGUAGGUUGAUCAUUUUCAUUUCUAUCAAGCAAUGUGGCAUGUUUUUGUUCUUAACACAUUAUCCAGUCCAUAUCAAUGUAGAUAUCCAGCUUGUUAUUUUUUCCCAUUAAAAUAUGAUGUAUUUUCAAAGUGUUCCUUUAAUUUUUUUGAGCAGUGUACAUAUUUUUUGGGCUGUAUUUUAGGGUUAACUUGCAUUUGAACAACACAAAGAAAAUCGGCCCAAUACACCCCACAAUGUUCCAAAAAUUCCAAUUAAAAACUGUUGAAAAAUGUUCA